AGCAACUCCAAACCGUUUUUGGGGUACCACUGAUUCAAAUUAACAAGUUAUAUUUUAUUAAUAAAUGUUGAGAUUUGCAUUUUAUUUGAAUUUUUUAAAAAUGUUUAAUUUGUUGGAAUGAUUUAAUUUCGAAUUCUAUAGGUUUUUGUAAUUUGUCAUAGUGUGGUAUCUUCAGAAGAAGUCUCCAUAUUCCAAGUAUCACUCGUUUCGGAACUUCCAUAUUUUUUUUUUCUUUUUCUGCUUUUAGAUAAAAUACAUAUAUAUAUAUAUAUACCUUAAACGUUUUCGUCAUAAAUACUAAGACUUUAUCGCUAGAGAUCUCCUUUCAAAAGAAACGUAAUACUAAUUAGUCUACUAUCAUUGCCAGAAAGGUAGACGUACGCAGAUCGGUUUGUAAUACGCGGGUGGCUAUUUGCCGACAUUUGUCCGCAAAGGUUAACGGGGUUAUAGCAGUGGCGUCAUCGGUGGGAAAACACUCAAGUUUAUAGUGAAAAUAGUGUCCACUGUUGGUACUAAAUUACGCCACUACUAGGUGCAUUAAAUAAUUAUUCCGAAAAAUGUUACAUUUGGCAUAUUAACCAAUAUAUUGCAGUGUUAUAAAGUAAUGCAUCGUAUUAAUCAUGCAUUUUUUAUACAAAAAAUAGAGAAUAAAUGCUGAAGGUAUCGGUGGCGCCAUCUUACAGAAUGGUGGGAACUAUUUUCAUUAGAAACUUGGGUGUUUUCCCAUCAAUGGCGCUAAUGUCGGCAAAUACUAAAUUAUGAUGAAAACUUAAUAUUUAUAAGCGUCUUAGUGAGUGGUGAGCUUUCAGGAUGCACCCAAUGUCUCAUUAAAAAAGGUUUUACAAGUAUCAAUUCCAUCAAAAUACUUCAUUAUUAAAAAAAACGGUGAUUGAUAAUAUGACGUGGUAGCCAAAAACACGCCUGAAUGAGUCGUAAGAAUAUCCAAACGGCUCCAGCAAGAGCCAAGUACGAACAGGCAGUGAACACCAUACUUACAAAAUCGACCGAGAUCUGUUGAUGCUUCAUAUCGAUAAUUUAUUAUUUUCGAUUGAAUCUGUAAUCAACGAAAUAGUAUAAGACCAUCCGCAAUGUGAAUUCAAUUUAAACGUUACUUAUUCGGGGCCUAAGAGGCUAUUUAAGGUAUUUCUAUUGAAAUUUUAUGAGGCCGAAAUAUUUCUCACGCAAGAAAUACUAAAAUUAAAAGUAAAUUAACCCUUAGCGCUCGAGUGGCGCCUCUAGGGCGACACA